ensembl:lncRNA
UAGAGAUGAGGGAAGAGGCAGAUGGGGGCGGGGACCGGGGAGGGGAGGAGGAAGAGUGCAUUUUGUUUAUGGGUGGCAACCUCACGAGGGGCGUCCCAUUCUGAUUGGCUCCGCGAAGCCAGGAGUGGCAUGAGAGCAACCCAAUAGUGAGGAAAGAUAGAGGGUUCGCCGCGUGAGGCGCCCAAUGUGGGCCUUGUGCCGAAGAAGUAGGGGCGGGGGGAAGUUUAGGAGUUGAGGAAAGAAGAUUAAAGAGCGCGAGGAGUCACACAAAAGAAGUGCUAAGAAUUGCCCUUUGAGACUCUGAAGGCUGAAGAGUCCCUGAUAAAUUGCAAGUCUGUCUGUGCCCCAUAGCUGCACAGAAAGUUUCAUCAUCACUAACUGGAUAUUCCUCACGACGUUACUGUCUGCAGUGGCUGGCACUUUUCCUCCACGUUUUGAGAGAAAGAGAAUUGGCUGGAAUAAAACCUUGCUUUCCAUAUGGUCGACUUGAAAUACAGCAUUGAAAAGUUCCUUGACCAUCAGUCUGUGGCCUGCCUCUUCUCUUUAUGUAAGUAAAAGUGGUUUCUUUACUUUUCAAAAAAUGUCGGAUUUGAUAAAUUUGGGUCUAUAUCGGUAUGUUUUCUGGUUGACUUUGUUGUGGUUUCCAGCACUUCUUCAGUAUGUAUUAGCUUCUUUCGGGUUUGGAGUUGACGCUCUUGGUCGUAGUAGUGGUUGCCGUCCAUGAGGGGGCUGAACAGCCGCCCCAGCCACUGGGCUUAUAUAAAGACUGCCUUUAACUCCGCCGCAGCUGCUGUUUGCAAAAGCCACUGCUCUUCUAAACUGUGGCUUACAUUCUUCAGCCAGACACCAGCAACAGUUGGGGCUUUUGCUCCACUGUCAAUCAAUGGGCAAUUAUUUAUUCUUUAGUUGUACACCCAUCUCUAGGUCCAGUCGUUUUUAAUUUCAACUCCUAGAUCAGAGCUUUCAUUUACUGACAAUAUUUAUAAUAUCCUUUUACUAAGAAGUACAAGACUGAAGUGCAAGACUUCAGCCAUUUAGGCUAACAUUGUGUGUAAAAUUGUAAAGUCCAGAAAAAAAAAAAAGAGAGAGAGAAAUCCAGGAUUACACAUGCCAGGAGGUUUAUAGAAGUUGCUAUUCUUUUUUAGAAAAGAUGGGAAGUCAUUUGGGAAAAAAACUUGAUUUCAGAUGAAAAGAGAGAACAUUUAUUAUUUAAAGCCCAACCCAGGCUGCACUGAGUGGAUUUGGAUAAAUUUUACCUCGAGCUGUUUGAAAGAGAGUCUGGGGCAGUGAACCCAAAUAAUCAAAGUUACUACAUGAGACACCACCCGAGAGAUGCCACAGAUAGUGCAGUCAUCUCAUGUGAUGCAUAAUCAUCAGCAUCCUUCCAGCGGCUUCUCACUCUCCACUGAGCACUGUCCCUUAUUCACAACAUUCUAUGUGACUUCACUGACUCCUUCGCACUCCAAGGUAUUUCUUGUAUUGUAAUCAUUUGCACACAAACGGGGUUCCCAUGACUCUUUUGCUUGUGUGUUGCUCCCAUUAACAUUCCUAGAAGCUAGUUGCAAAUGUAUUUAGGGGAGCAGAAUCUUCCAAAGGAUGCUAAGGCUAAACUCUAAAGUGACAGUUAUUUGACAGAGAAAAGAGAUUGAUUAAAUUCCCCAAAGACUGGUGCUGUGUGUAAUGCAUUUAUACAGCAGGGGUGGGUCCUCCCUGCCCCUGACAAGUCUGGUUACUCCUUAUUCUCGGCGUUGAUAGAGUGGGUCUGUCAAUGCUUUGGAGGGUAUCAAUAUGCAUGCUUGUGGUCACCACUUUAUGUCUCCCGUCCCUACCUCAGUACCUCAGUUACCUAGCACUGCAUAUUUCUAGUCCUCUGACUGGCAAAUCAUUUUUGUUACAGUUCUUUUGUGUAAAAACAGUUCACAUAAUAGCUCUGUGUUAGACAAGGCAUUAAUCCUCGCAUCACCAGGAAUGAGUCAGCACAGUGCACUCCUGCCCGCACGGCUCAGCUAUUAUGACGUCAGCACUGUAGGGCGAGCCUCAGACACAAGCAGUACAGGGGACUGGAGACCUGUGUCACAGAUUAGAAAUUGAGGGGGAGACCUUUGAGAUAAAAAACGUAAUUGAAAGGCUGUCUCUGGCUCACAGGAAAACGUGAAACUGAUUCUAUGCUGCAUCAACCAUCAAUUGGGCAGCUUCUAGAGAGAUCCUAGUUUUUAACCAGAGCUAAGGCUGGGACAAUGACCUGUAAUGGGCUGAUAGCCCCAUUCAUGUACCCACUAACCUUGUCCCACCCCUGGGCCAGGCUUCGUGUUUGCUUGGAUUGUUCCAAAGCCUGAAGCUGCCUUUAUUUCAAGGAUGACAGGGCCUGUGACAGUCUUGAUGUCCUCAAGUGCCCCACAGACACAGCUGAUGCCUUCAGGGGUGGUGCCCCACAUGCUCAUCAAAGGGAAAAUAAAAUUUCCUUGGGAACAGAUCAGAACAUUAUCUUUUCCUGUGCUUCUAGUUCUCGGUGCCUUUCAUGGCCUCCUCCAGACAGGUGCAGAAUCCUGCCCAUUGGACUUCUCUCCUUGGCACUGCAUUUCCUCCCAAGUCCAAACCUGAAUUGGACACAGAUUCAAAUAGGAACUGAGUAGCUUCCAGAUGUUCCCCCUCAAGAGUUUUGCAUUCCAUUGCUCUUUAGCAGAAACAACGAGGAGCCCUCCAUAACUGCUAUGUUGCCUUGAAGCAGGUAACACAGACUUGCCCUAUUUGAGAAACCAGGUUCUUACAAGAACCUCUUACAAGUGAAACCUCUCCAUAAUUCAGUCUCAGAUUCAUUCUCAGAACAAUACCUUUCAGGAUCGAAAACUAAAUGUAGAAAAGGUUGAAAAUUCACUGCCUCAGUGACACUCUCUGUUAACAAGACAUUCCUCCAUCACACCAUCUAUCCUUCACUCUUACUUUAACCCUGUGAUAACCGUCAGAAAGUGCCUUACUGCUGGGAUCUUCUGCCUUCAUUAGAUUGCUAAUAGGCUCCUACCAUGCUUAUAGAAGCUACUACUACUGCUUGGCUUAGUUUUGAAUAGCAUGCAGAGCUCUUUAUUCAGUUUGCAGUCAACAAACAUUUAUGGAAAGCUAGUCAUUACGUUUGGUUCCUGAAACUCCAAGAUAAAUAAGAAAUGCUCCCUGUUGUUAAGAAUCUCACAGUCUGGUUGGAGAGAUAAAUAGUAAAUAAAGACUCUCCCAUGUGAUAGGUGCUGAAAUGGAGGUAUGUACAACAUGUAGCCAGGGGAACGAGGAAAGAGUGCCCACCUGCGUGUGGAGAGGCACCCAAGCUGGGUCUAAUAGUCUGAAGAAUGAAUUGCAGUUUACCAGGUGGAUGUGGGGGAGGGGAAGGAAAAAGGGAAUCAUAAUCAGGAAAAAAGCAAGAGCAUUUACAGUUUCCAAAGUCAGGAGAUGUCAUCAAGCACCAGCCAGAUUCAGAGGACAGUGGUUCAGUGUGGCUGGAGCGUGGUGGUGGAAAGGGAAGCCUGAGGGAUGAGACUGGAAAGUGGGUAGGAGGCAGAUCACGGAGGACCUUGCAUGCUGUGCAAAGGAGUUUGGACUCGAUGCUGCAAGCUUGAGGAAGCUUUGAAGAGUUUUAAGUAGAUUUAUAUUUUAGAAAAAGAGCACGCUGGUGACUGUAGAGAUGGCUGACUGAGAAGAGGGAGCUCAGGUCAAAGGUGAAAACCUAGGGUCUGAACUGUGUAGUGGAGGUGGGCGUGGAGAGGCGAGCUACUUGGUAGUGUUGACAUAAAUAUUGACAUUUGCAUAAUGCCAGCAUAUCUUGGCCCAGGGCCUAAUCCUUGCCUUCUAGGAGAAAGGCUGAUGUGUUGUGUGGGACCAAAUUUCAGGCCAACAUACAUCUUUAUGGGAGCUUCACCAGGACCUCCGUGUGAAUCUGACCUCACUCUGAGAUGCUGCCUACUGGUCUCUAGAGACGUGUAUCUCCUUCUCCCUUAGUGGACUUGCAGAGUGGCAGGCAGAUAAGGAGAAGACAUUCUCAGUGUCCUGCUUUUCUCUUCUUUCACCUGAAAAUGAAACAAUUUCUUAAUAAUGUCCGCCUAAAGUCAAUCACUGCCCCAAUUUCCUAUCAUUUUUCUAUUGCUUUUUCUAAGAAGAAGUUCCAAGCCAUUGAGCUGAACAGCAGCUUAUGCACAGCCGGGUGUUGAAACAAUUCAGUGUAUUCAUUCCUUCUUUCUGAAUUAGAGUUCACCAUAAGUGUGCUUUUCUCUUGUUCACUUUGGGCUGCCAGGACAAUUUAAAGGAAAUUUUCAACAGCUUAUGUUUCAUGUACCACGUUCUCUUUUGCAAAUGGAAGGGUAUGCGUGGGUGUGUUUAAGUCUUCUCUAUAUUACUUUCUGGAGAAAGGUUUAGAAGAUGAGCAAGACAAGGAAUAGGGACCUAUUAGAAGCCCAGGUCCCCCCAGUGACCUGAGAGCAGAACGUAGGCUGGUGAUCAGAUGGUCAAUUAUGUGUUUGUCAAAACACAGUGGGCUGCAUUCCAGACUGCCAGCUUUGGAGGCCCAGCUUCUGCCAACCAAAUGUCAUCUGGGAACAUGCAACACUGGGCACUGUGAAGGAGUUUGAAAUAGACCAUGCCACAGCCAACCUACUGCCAGUCUUAUAGCACCAAUAUGGCAUGCACAGCCGGGCCCCAUGUUUCAGAGCUCAGGAAUUCACUGUACUAAAUUCAAGAGGUCAGAUGGGUUCAUGUUUUCAAAGCCUAUGUUCUCUGCUUUGAACAUUGUGACUUGCUCCUCAGCGAUUUCCAAGUGAUUUUUCCAGUCACAUCUCUGUGGAAACCACUCUUUUUGUGAUGGUUAUGAGAGCCUUGUAAAUGUCCCAGAGGAGAGAAAAAAAUAAACUUGCUCUGACAAUGACUGUGAUUCCGACAGAGGGAUUCCAACUCUUAGGAAAUUACAUUAAAGGUGCAUAGCUUUUAAAAUAUCAGGAACCACCUUGGCAACUUAUAAAAAGCAGAAGGGCUUUGCCUAUUUUAUAAAGUGAUUUGCAUAUACCUGCAUAAAUAAUGUCCCCACCUGUACUUUUAUGCAUUUAGGUUGAAUAAAUUAAAUUCAGUGAUCUUUAAAAUAUUCACUGUCUUUCAUUGCUCAGAUACCAUUUUCAGGACCCUUCCUCCUCAUUUUUUUCCUAUGGUAGUAGUGGCUAUUUUUUCAAUCUUUUGACUCAUUCAGAGAAUCAAAACAUUCUGCAGACCAGUCUAUCACAGCCAGGAGCGUUACGUCCCUCUGCUUGCAUUUCUCUUAGCCUUUCUACCUAUCAGACCAUGAGUUCCAUAUGCUUUUCAUAAAAGAAAGUGGGGGAAUAUAUUACUAAAAGGAAAACACAACACAUGAUAGGAUUAAGCUCCACUGCCUAUAUCUAUAUCCAGACCUGCACCGAUAUGCAUCUCAAGGACACACUUAAAUUAACCUUCUCUUUCUUUGGCCACUGCCACCACCCCUUCAGAAACCAUCCAGUCACUAAGCCAUAUCAAUUGUAACCUGGGCCCUCAAAUCAAAGCCUGGUCAUUAGGCCAGCCUCAAGCACAAUCAUCCCAUAAGAUAUUAUUAAGCACUAACUAUAUGCAAAGAGCCAUCUUUAGUUGGGAGUUAAAACAUAAAUCUAGAUGUUGCCCUUGCUUUCUCUUAAGCAACUGAAAAUUGCGUUAGGAAAAGAAGUUAUACUGUUGAGUGUUCUGUAUGCAUAUGAGACAAUAAAUGACGAUUCCUAAAGGAAUGAUGGAGACCAGUAAGUGCUAUGGGAUUUCAUUCAUGAAAGAGAGCCUUGAGGACUGGAAAGCUUUAUGUAAAAUGUUAUUUAGCUGGGUCUUGAAAAAUGGCUAGAAUGUAAAAAAGAUGAAGAGUAAAAGAAUAAUAUUCCAAGCAAAAGCAGAGCCUAAGUGCUGGAAUCUUUGAGGGCGUCCAAUAAUAGUUCUGUUCUUCCCCCACUCAAAUUCUAAACCCAUUGAAAAAUAAGGCAAAAGAACUGAUAGCUGGGGAACCAAAAUUUUUGAUAAAGGCUGGGUUGAAGGAUGUAGUAUGAGAGGUAAGAUGGACUUAACCAAUUCCCUUCCCUCCAAUGUAAACCUUGGAAAAGCUCUCCCAAGGAAAAACUUAGAUCAGCAUAAGCACAGUGCUUUUCCAGGUCACUGACUCCCACUAGUCUAAGUAGGAAAUGAAGGAGAAAGAGGCCAAAAUCCUACACUUACAAACUCUGACAGAUCAAUUCCACCUAACUGAGAAACAUGGACCAAGGGCUGUCUCACCAACAGAAUGAUUCACCUCCUUGGAGAAGUAGAAGUAUAAGGAAUGAGGCAAGAGACAAGGAGUAUUUAAAGAACUUCCCUCUGGAAACUAGAAACGGAAAAGAGGCAUUCCUACCAAUCCUAAGAUCAACAGACUGGAAAACAAGAGGAGGAAGUCCUGAGUGAGAGGAAAAUGGGAGCCAGAGCCAAGAGGCCAAACAAGGCUCUCAUUGGUCUAAGGGACAUCCCUGGUGUUGAAACCAGUAGUCAUAGAAUUAUCAAAGGUCUAAACUGAGGAUUCCUUUUGGACUCGCAAAGUUACUAGAGUCAGAACCCUGAGGAACACGCAAUAAAUGAAGAUAAUAGACUAAAAGUUAGGUAAAAAAGAAAUACAAAAACUCUUAUCUUUUGUUAAGCUAAUAAUAACAAUAAGAAUAACAAUCGCAUUUGUUGAGUGCUUGCCCUGCCGUAGGCACUAGAAAGACACUUUUAAUCACUAUCUGAUUUAAUCUUUAAAACUACUAUUAUUAAGUAGGUGCUGUUAUAUUACUAUUGGGCAAAACUGGGUAAAUGGUAUACCAGAUCUCUCUCUAUUUUCUCUUACAACGUGCAUGUUAAACUACAAUAAUCUUGAGAUUAAAUGUUAAAAAAAGAAUCAAGCUAGCUUCAUGGUGGCAAAUGGUUUAGAAGGAGCAACAGUAGGAGGCUAUUGUAAUAGACCAGACAAGAGACAGACUAGGAUAGCGACAAUAGGAAUAGAAGAAAAUAAAUGGAACUGAGAGAGAAUUCAGAAGGAACAUAUACAGAAUUUUCUUAUGGGUUAGAUGUGAGAGAUGAAGGAAAGAGAAGUGGCAGCUAUGAGUACUGGUUUUGUGCUUAUAAAACUGUGUGGAGGACAGUACCAUUCAUGGUUACAGGAAACACCAAAGGAGAAGCAUGGCCAAGGGAAGGUUAUUUGAGAUGUCUAGUGUGAGGUGCUUUUAUAGAGAUAAGUGGGCAUAUUGAACAGGCAGUUAAAUAUAUGCAACUGGAAUUCAGAAGUGAAGUGAAGGCAAAUGAAGCUGUUGGCAUGGAUGAUAUUGCCUGGGGACCAGGUUAGAUUGAGAAGAAGGCCCAUACUGGGACUGAAGAACUCUUAAUAUUUAAUCAGCUGGUAGAGAAAAAUGAGGCUAUGAAAUGCCCUCAGAAGGAACAGCUGAGAGGUAGUGGGAAAAUCAGAAAACGUUGGCGCAGAAGCCAAGAGAAGAGAGGGUUUUAGGGAGUGGGCAGUGUGAGAAGUGCUGCUGAGAGGUCAAGCAAGUUAAGGACUAAAACAUGUACAUUUAUUGUGUUAAUUUGGAGGUUACUGGUGACCUUAGCAGAUGCUGUUUUGUUGAAAUGAUGGAAGCAGUAACCUGUUUGUAAUGGGUUGAGGAAAAGAGUGAGAGGUGGUGAAAGAGAAACAGCAAAUGUGUAUAACUCUUAGAAGUUCUCUUGUAAAGGAAAGGGAAAUGAGCUAGGGUGAGCUCUUGGAAUGGGGGAGUGAGAUCAAAAGAAGAUUUGGAAAAAAGUGGAAAUAUGGUGUUUUUAUAUUUUAAUUUAAAUAUUGGUGUUUCCCAUAUUCUUCAAAUGGGAAGAAUAGAGAAGAGAGGAGACAUCCAGUGUACAUCCAGUGUAUGGGGUGAUUCCUAGUAUAAGAUUCCUGAUAAGGCUAGAGACACAGAGUCCUGAGCAUCAGUGGAGGGACAGAAGGAGGGGCAUCUCUUCUAUUGUUAGAAGAAAGAGGAAGGAAGAGAGAGGGCAGAGGCAAGCCACAUGGAGGUUUGGUACUGAGAGGUUUCCCAAAUGAAGGCUCUUAGGAGGCAGGGUCCUGCUACGAAUAAGCAAGGAGGCAAUUUGAGGAAAGUAGGGGUUUAAAAUAGUUCUUGGCACAAAUGGGACAACAAGUUGACCAGAGAAACACAGUGGGAUUAUCCUUGGCAGUGUAGAGGGCCUGGUGAGUCUGGUGGGUUAAUGUUGAUGCCUGUCUGCCUUGUGUGAUUUUCUCCAGCAGUUCAGUGACCAAGGUGGAAGCUCAGAGGACAUGUGUAUUUGAGUUCAAAUUGAGAUGGGGUUUUACUAGUACACGGGAAAAGACAAUAGGGAUUUUAGCUUCUUUUUGGUUCUAGUUGAGGCCAGAAUAAAGGGGCAGUAAAUGGGCUCAAUUCGAAUCUCCAAGUAUCUAGUAAGCACCUGCAUUGCACCAGGCACAGUAGAGAAUAAACAGAGAUGAAUAAGGCACCAUCCCUGCCCUCAAAUAGCACACUAUCUUGGGAAGUGGAGAGUUUGAAGGCUGCCGUCUGGUCCAAAAGCCCAGGAACAGGUGACUAGAUAACCUUUGCCAAGACACAGAAACCCACGUCAUUCCUUUUCUUUCUUCUGCCUGCUCCUUCCUCCCAUCCUGGCACUACCCAGUCAUUUUCUCGCUUUCUCAAAAAAUGUCUACUUUCUACCUUAUUGCUAAGCCUCUAAUAUGCAUCAUACAUAUUCUGGUUUCUCCCAUCAUCAUUUUGCUAAAAUAUCAUCAUUUAGGAACAAUCAGAUCAUCUACUUGAAGUGUGGUAUUGGUAUGAUGUGAAUUUUCUCUAAAAUUUAAGAGCUGGCAUCGAACUAUACAGAAAGGCUAUUUAUUUAAAAGAAGGAGGGAGAGAGGAAGAGUGGGUCUGUAAGAGAGAGGAAGAAAAGAGGGAGGGAAGAAAGGAAGAAAGAGUGCAGUGAAGGAAAGAAGGGAAAGAAAGCUAAUCAGCUACAGAAGACUUUAUGUAGCAGCUCAUCCUUGUUAUUCAAGGGAACUCCCGUUUAAGAUAAAUAGAUAAGCCUCCAGUCCUAACUCCAUCAGCCUCCAAAAACAGCUUCCAGACCUGGAGACACACCAGAGUACUAUAGAUUAAUUAAAUUCCAGCUUCUGGCAACGUAUGACAAGAUAGGAAGAAGACCUGAAGAAGGUGGAAAUUCCUAAUUACCAAUGGAAGUAGGAUUCCUGACUCAGGUUUAUUCUAAGCAUUAUAAAAUGGUGGCUUAGAAAGAGGCAGUGGCAAUGCCAGCUUUCCUUUAUUUGAACACAUUGCGUUUUGCUAGAUUCUCUUUAGGAAAUGACAUUAGGGCCAUUUGAGUCAAAACUACAUUGCAGAUACAUCUGGGGUAGAAUUUGGCAGCUGUUGAGCAAAGCAGCUGUAUUUUUUUUAAUAUUUACUUCUUUCAUGAUUCUAUAAUUCACACUUAUUGUAAAAUAUUAAGAAAGUAUAGAGUGAGGAGAAAACAUCCAUAAUUCCACUAGAGAGAAACAACUAUUAUUGGCAAUGUUUAGACCACCUUCUAGUCUCUUCUCUGGAUUUUAACAUAAUUGAGCAUACAUUGUAUGUUUAGGGUUGUAUCCUGUUUUUAAAAUAAAUAUUAUAUAAUAAGAGCUUACGAUGUCAUUACAAACACUUUAUAAACACCACUGUAAUGUCUGAAUAAUUUCCCGGAAUUUACCUAACUAUGCCCUAGAUAUAGAUAUUUGGGUUAUUUCCAGUAUUUGAGAUUUAAAGUCCUAUAAGGUAAGAACUAGAAUACAUCACUUGAGACUGCCAAACCUGGAGGAAAUUUGAGGAUGGCAGUGAUGUCACCCAUCAAGAAAGUGGUCAGGCAGUGAUGUCACCCUGUUAAGAGAGUUACUAAUUACUAAUGACUAUGAAACUCAUGUUUGAAUUUCUAAGUUGUUGUUGCAGAGUUUAUCUAAACUCUUUCCCUCCCAAAGUAAAAGUUCUAAUUUUUAUUUCUAAAAAGUAUGCAUUUAGUUUUGUCCAAAUUUGUUACAAUGAUGAUGUAUAAAGAAGAAAGUAAGAUUCACUCAGAAUUUCAAUGCCCAGAGAUAACCACUAUUAACACUUUGGGAAGUAUAUUUCCAUACAUAUCUAUUUACCUGACUCUUUUUCUUUUCUUUCCAAAGUGAAAGGAAAAGCUACUUUCUUUUUCGUAAUCUGCAUUAUCACUCAACAUUGAAAUAGGUAUUUUACAUUUAAUAUAGAUCUACAGUAUGUUUUUGACAGCUACAUGGUACUCCAGUGUAUGGAUAAUUUAUUGAAUCAAUCACUUAUUGAUGGAUGUUUAGGAUAUUUGGAAAUUUUUUUCUAACUAAACAAUGCUACAAUAACUGUCUUUAUGCACAUAUGCAUUUUUUUAAAUGCGCUUGCCCGAUUAUCUCCAUAGGUUAAAUUUCUACCAGUGGAACUGCCAAAGUGAAAUUUAUCUAUCGCUAAACUGACCUCCAGUAAAGGUGUAUCAUAUUUUACCUCCACCAACAAAGAAGGAGACUGCCCAUUUCUCUGCAUCUUCACUAAUUUUAUAAUUGCCAAUUUUUGUAAUUUUUGCAUAUGAGUGAAUAUUUUCAUAUUGGGUGUAUGAGAUGCUUUUUCCAAGCAUGAAACAUAAGUCUGAAAACUCAAGAAAAAUAUAUUAAAUUGUAUUACAUGAAAAUAAAAAUCACUGUGGUAGAAAAUAUUUUUUUAGAAACUGGGAAAAAAUUUGUGACAUAUCCCUGAUGUUUGAAGAGUGGUUAUACAUCAACAAUGAAAAGGUGAAUGAUGCAAUAAAAAUUUGGAAGAGCAAAGGCACUCUCCAACAUGCCUCUAGUUGUUUAGUCUCAUUCCUCCUGAAAAGGCGGUGCUCCUGGAGUCCUGUGAGGCCACCUCGGGAGCUGUUUCCUGUAUUCUGAUGGCAGCACCCACCCUCCUUGCCCUCCUGGAGAAUGUUGUGGGGAUCGAAACACUAGUCCAGGACCUGCGGAGUUUCUGGGUCGGGGGCUAAUUGUUCACUCACGUGAAUGUAAAAAUGUUCAUCUGAGCUCUGCCAUCAGACUCCAGAAUCAGUAAAUUAUUGGGAAGGGAAAAAUACACACUGGCAACAUUGCCUGAUCCAUGUCUCCAGGGCAGAAUUGACACUAUUCUUCUAUCAGACGUAGACAGAGAUUUCUGGAUGUUCUCAUAAAUAAAGUGCUAGAGGCCAUGUCAUCAAUGUCCUCCACCUUUCCCUCUCUCUCCGAUUCCCAUGUGUAUUACUACAUACUUAAUGAAAUGGAAUAUUUUUCAGCAACUCCAGGGCAAGUGAAAGAUGCCAGAGAGGCAGAAAUGCCGCACUGGCAACGUCAGCUCCUGCCUCCACAGCACAAACUGUGACAGGGCGUCUUCCCUCUGUUUGGCAUAGGGAGCUUCUGGGUUCUCAGAGUGAGAUGCCCAAGUCUUUCAGCGGGGCAGGAGUUGUGCAAAGCUGUUCUGAGUGGUAACUGGAGCACUCCUUCAGCACAAAAAGUUCAUUUGCAGAUGAUAAGGGAUGGCAUCUGCUCCGGGGCAAUCUUCCUCCCUCUUUGGUGGAAAACUGUGUGCAAGAAAAUCGUGUGUGCCUUAAAUCCUUAGUGUCCAGAAAGGAAGCAGAAGAGAGGUAAAACAUGUCAAAGAUUGUAUGGAGGCCUCUUUAGGCCAACCACAAGCUAAGGAGGAUUGUAGGAACCAGACCUAGUAAAUGGUUUGUUUUCUACCUGAGCAGUCAAACAGCCCCAGGAGGUGUGAGGAUGUGGGCACCCUGGCUCUGGUAGAGGCCCCAUGGCUGGCUCAGUGACCCAAGGCUCAGAGUGCUGAAUGUCUGGCUUUCUUAAUGAUGCUCUGAGAAAACUUCACAUAUUAUACACCUGCCUCGGCAACAUAGCUUGUACCCAGAGGCCAAACGGGGACACAGUGUUGAUGAUUAACGUUGAGUGUUAUUAAUUAACAGAAUGACUGUUCCUCACGUUCCUUCUCACCCUUUUCUUUUCUUCCCCAAAUGUGAUUGCCUGUCCAAAGCUGGGGAGGGUGUAUAUAUAUGGUGUACUUGUAUAUAUAGUACAUACACAACCUACUUAUUUAGAGAAUCUUUCUACUAGGGCACUGGCAGAGGCGUCUUGUUUAAGAAGCCUUUGCAGUGUUAAAACUAAGAUUUUUUCUUUCAUUAGGUUCUUCGUUUAUGCACUCUUUCUCUGGUCUCUUUGUUGUUCCUCAUCCCUCCUAGUGUGAGGUUAUUGAAGACAAAUCAGACAUACCUACCUUAUCCCAGAGAAUCAUGUCCAGAUAUUUAUUUCGGAUGGGCCACCUUACCUCUCACUUUUUGGUAGACUAAAAUGGAUUCCACCUUUAGUUCCUCACUAUAAAUUUCUAGGCUUUUGGUACAUGGAACAUAAUGAUCACUUCUAAUUUUAAAUUAACCCUAUAUUUUGGCUGAGAGAAGCAUGUGUCUCAUGACAGAGUUUAAGUAAAAUGUACACCCGAAUCCUUUAACAAUGUCCGUCAGUCUGGUCCUUACAAGCUAGUCAAGGAUGCAUAAUAGAAAUAACAGGAAAUGUCCAGUUAGAAUCAUUUUCUGGGAUUUUUCCCCUGCUUUUGCCAUCAUCGCCAUGCUUGAAUAAUGUCCACUGUGCUUGUGCUUCCCCAGUAGGCUCCAAUCCUCUACCAGUUUUAUAACAGUACCUUUCAGUAAAGAUUAGGAAGAAUCUUAACACUGUGUACUUUUCCCAAAAUGCCUGAAGUAUCUAUUGAUAGGGUGUCUGUAUACUAUCUGUCCAUUUACUUGUAAAGAAUCAAUUUCUUCAUCAUCUCAUUACCACCAAUCAUCAACAUCAGUCAUCUAGAAUAGGUACAGAGGCCAGCCAACUCACAGUAGGCUGUGUGCUCACCACUCCACCCCGACUCUCUGAUAUACCUAGGAAAAGAGUGUUAGCAAUGUGCACUAACAUCCAGAAAACUGCUUCAGAGUUCUGAAUUCUGGUGCAGAAAUCCAGGAGAAAUCUUAUUGGCCACUGUUAUUUGGAAUUUUUCCCUUUUACCCAAACAACAAAGAACUACAGUCAAAACACUUAGAAGAAUUCCUUUUGCACCCUUCUGGUGUUGGAUUCUAAUUUAUUCCUUCUUAGAAAAUGGAGGGUUACAUUUAAAUUCCAGAUAAAUGCUUUCGCCUAGUAAGAAAUGAAUGUAUAAUUUUUGACUAGUGUGAUAAAAUGAUCUUUCAUGAAGUGCAGCAUCGAAGACUCAUUGCCACCCCAGUCAUGGCCAAGAGAUGGAGGCCUUCUUUAGAGAUGAGACAAGAGCUCUAUGGGUAGCCCUCCAAAUGGAUGCAGACUUUGAGACAGGAAGGGAUGCAACUAGAAGCCAGAAGAGCUGUGUGUACAUUAAUAGCACCCAGCAGCCACCCUAAAAUGAGUUAGACUUUAGUUAAGAGGGAAUCAAAAAUCUGCACUAUAGAUAUUCAUCCAUUUCUAGAAUUGUGCAGGGUUUUAGUGUCUUUUCAUCUCUUAGCUAAAUUCUGUUUGUAGGAAUAACUUGAUCUAAGAAGAAAGAUUUCCCCAUACAGCAGUCAGAUUAUUUCAUGGCAACAGUACAUCCCUUGGCAGCCCACACUGACUUGUGGACCAGCCUGAGGAUCCAGGGAAAACAGACUGAGUGACCCAGAGGGACAGAGUCAGGGCCAGCCGUGGACAUGAGUCUUUACUAUCUUCCAAAAGCUACCCCAAAUCAGCCAUGUAUUUCUUUUCUCAACAAUAGGCAUUGGAAAACUUAAAGAUCAAAAUUCCUUUUAAGGCCUGAGCUAUUGAUGUAUUUAUAUAGAGAUUAUUUCUAGGUCAGCCACAGCUACCUUUGUCUGUGGCUCAGGACCUCAAAGCAUCCCAUACUCAUAUGCACGCAUGGUCUAUUGGUGUGGGCUUUCCCCUGCCUAUUAGACGCAUUACAAACUUGCUUUUAAUGGGGCCUCUCUGCAUUCCAACAGAAAUAUUUCUGGAGCUCUCCUGGCUCCCACAAUGUUUGCUGGGUGCACAUUUAAUAUGUUUUAGCUUUACUGCCUGAAGAUGGAAUCAGGGACAUCUACCUGCACAUGACAGUGCUUUGGCUCUUGCAGCUGCAGAACUUAAUGUAUGUAUCAGUAAUGAAAAUCUUAAUUAAGAAAGCUGCAUCAUUGUCCAUGAACACUCAUUUUUCUCCCCCUGCAAAGCCCUUUGUGUAUUGCAGUAUAUACCUGGUCCAGACAGACAGAGCCCUCGAAGAGCUUGUCUGGCAGAUCUCCUCUUGAUUAUUAACAGCUAGAGAAUGACAAAGUCUCGCUCUCCUUUUGUCUUGAAGCUGAGGCUUGGAACAGCAGAGCACACAAUGUACUGUAGGGUUUGUUUGUGUUUUUUUAAACUUGCUUUUAUUACGUUGGUGGGUUUAAAAAUCCGACAGUGUUGAUCAAAACUAAUUUAGGUAACUUAGAGUUGCCAAAACACUAGCAGAUGCAUAUUUACACAUAUACUCUCAGAGAAAUGUAAUUUUCCAUAUAGAAACAAUGCACAAACCUAAGAAGGGACCAUUUUAAGCUGCCUGCCCAUGUUUCCAACGCCUUUGGCCUCUGAUGCCUGAAGCCUGCCGUGUUCCUGCUUAUGUGAACAGACCAGUUCCUUCUUUCCCUGCACCAAGGUGUGCAUGCCAAUUUGUCAUGUGCAGAGAAUAGGAAGCUUGGAAGGAGGGAAUAACUUUAGGCAACUAUCUACCCAGAAAUAACUGAGAGUUCUUAAAAAGGUCUUUUGAAAAGGUGGCCGAUAAUUAUGUUUAAGAAACAAUGUCCAAUUUUAAUGCCUUAAUAACGCCCAAAUCGUAAUACCCAAAAUAAAAAGUUAAUUCAUUUAACAUUCUCUUAAAAGCCUCAAAGCCUUUCACUCUUAAAAAGUAGCAACUCCUCCUAUUAAUUUCAUGACCUUGAAUCAUGACCUAUAGCAUAAGGAGAGAGACUGGUGUCUCAUCUAUUUGUGUAUCAUUCAAUCGUCUGCAUUUUCUAAGUCUCUGGCCUACAGUGUUAACCAUUUUCUAGAAAAUCCAUGUAAAUAAUUGAAUUGGGCUGUAGCCAUAUGCUUACAUAAUACUUUCUACUGGAAUAGAAGGGCACGCCCACCUAAAGUUCUGAUAAUAAGUAUUUAGGACCUGUCUUCUUCCUGUCCAUAUUCUGUCCUCAUCAAGAGGGGAGCAGACGCACUGUCUCUCAUAAUACUAGUGUGAUCUGUUAUUUACUCUGCUUCUUAGAACUUAACAUGCUUUAGCUCAUUUAUUUUCAAAAUCACUGUAAAGCAGGUAACAGUCAGCUUUCUGCAUAUCUGUAGCACAAGAAAAUGUGUGUAAAUAUUCUCUAUGUAUCAUGCAAGUUGUGAGGAAGACCUUAUUAAGGGAAAAUUAUUUUUGAAUAUCCUGACAUUAAAAUCUCAUGGUUGCACUCAACAUUUUAAAUUAAGUUUACGGAUGAAAAGUAAAUAAAAAUAGACUUAUGGUUGCAUACUAGAAGCAUAAUAAGGUUAGAAGGGAUGCUAUCAGGGUUCUUGGUUGCUAGAUAGGAAACACUGUGAACAAGUUAUUUUACUCUGGAAGAUUCUCCUUUUCAAGAACCAUCUGGCCAACUCUGCUAUAAAGCAACUGGAAGUAAUUGGCCUCGAAAUAUGUUGCAGGUAUACACUGUGAUGCAUAGAGGAGGCUGUCAGUAAAUGUUUGGAGAAUGAACAAAUUAAUAAAUUAUGAAUGAAUAAAGGAAGGAAGGAAUAUUGUUGGUGUUUCGAAGACUAAACCAGAAGAUUGGGUACUUCUCUUAAUUUUGGAAAGCCCUUGGUUAGAAGUUUGAAGUGUGUUGGAUUUCCAGACCUUGAUCUUCAACUUUCCAAACAAUAAAAUACUCAGUAGGAUUAUGAAGAUUCUUGAGGUUUACUAUUUGGGGAGAUCAGUUACUUUCUGCCUCUGGAACACACGCACACACACACACACACACACACACGUAUGUAAGUGUGUAUAUAUGUACAUAUACACACAUACAUCCUUAUUUAAAUGAUAUAUAUAUCCGUGUACGUAUGUAAACAACCACUGAAUCACAAUGUAAAACAUACUUCUUACUGUGAGUUGUCAAUAAAAAUGUUUGAACCACCCCCCCCCAAAAAAACAUUGCAGUAGAUCAAGAUAAUCUCUUCUCUCAUUCAGCAUAUCUAUGAUUUGCUUAAAAUUGAGGAGUGACUAGGCCCAUUAAAAAUGGCAGGUGGCAGGCCUUCUGAUGAUUUACCCUCGUCUCUGCCUCUCUGCUGAUGCCUCAAGGGGUUUCCUCAUCAUUUUUGUGCAAGAAAUGCCAUAUGUUUUAUCAACUUUGGCCCGGUCAACAAGCUGAGGAAUCAAGCAGGUUUAGGGCCAAGAACUGCCAUGGAACUGGAGUAAAAGGUAUUUUGAAAGUAUACUAUCUGACUACAAGGAUGCUCUUCAUUCAAACCUGGCCACCCUUUGCUCUCACGUGGAUAUAUGUCCACUAGCAGUGUGAUAAGUGAUCCUGUCAGCAAACAUGUGCAUCAGUGGUCCUCUAGAACAUCAUAUUUAUGUUAGUGCCUAAUGAGAUGUUCAUAAAGCAGCAUACAGUUUGUUAUAUUUAAAUGCCUAUGACUUCCUUAUUUCAAAAGCAAGUACCUUUAAACACAGGAAUAGCAUUUCUCUAUAUGCAAACCUCUAUACAUAAAAAGGUUUACGUUUUAAAACAAACAUGUUUUUGAGUUUUAUCCAAAUUCAAAAAAAGCAUCUGAAAAAUUUAACAGCUGAAAAACACUUUCUCCUUGCUGGGAAAACUUAAACCUUGCUAGGCUUUAUGCAACUUAAAAAAAAAAUCGCUUCUGUGCUGAGAACUAGCAUGAGAAAUCUCAGCAUGAAAGGUUGUUGGAAUUUUUUUCUUCAUAGAGCUAAAACCAAUCGUUAGUUUUAGAGUGAUGCUGCAAUAUGCAUAUGCUUUGUCAGGAACAAAUAUGAUUUAAUUUCAAGGGCAUCUUCAACAAAAAUUAGGGGGGGAAUGAUAAAGCCUACUUAAGCAGUGAUCCAGAGUCCGAAAGCAAAGGUUGAGGACGUCGUUGUCCCAUCAGAUCUAGACACACUGCUAAGGCUGAGCUGGUUGUUACUACUUGAAAAGCCGAGAGGUAUUUGUAUUGUCUCUGUCUCACCCAAUCCUUACUUACUUGUGAGCCAAGAGGAUCUCACAAGGAGAGUGCUGUUCUGUGAUGGAGUCCUGGACUGUGUUUUCUAUUUGUUUCAGCCCUUCAGUAAAUGGUCUGUUACCUGCCAUUAUGACCUGCAUGCAUUUGCUGAGCAGCUUUUCAAAUCAAAACAAAUUACGUGGCUGUGUUUCUAGAAAGCUGAACCAUUUUCAAGAUAGUAUGGAAUUGGAAGCACACAUAGACAUGUCCAUGCAAUUGGAUGUUUAUCCUGGACACAUAUGUUCAGGCAUAUUCAGGAAAUAGGAAAAAAGAAAAUAGACUGGACAAUACAAAUAUGGAAAUACAGCCUGGUCAAACAUUGGCAGCCCGUGCUCCUAACUGUGCACCCAUGUAUGAGUGACUUUGUAAAGAAAGCCCACACUCAAGCAUACUACUCUUAAUACUCUCCUGGAAAUAGGGAAUGCAAAGUAAUUUUUCAAUAUCAUACUGGCCACCUUUGGAGUGUGAUGCUUUGGGUAGUGACUUAGAGGCCAUGGAUGGGAGAAGACACAACAACAUCCAUCCAUUAUUUACAGGGUAAUUUUUGAGAGAAACAAGUCCUUCCUUGAAGACAGGCUUAGAUAUUUCAAGACCUCCUCAGAAAAUUUUUUCAGCACCUUCUGUGCUCCAAAUUGAGGCAGUUUGCAUCAUGUUUCAGUAUAACUGAGUAACAGGCUGGCAAAUUCCCUGCUUUCCUGUUCACCAAAAUCCAAAAUAGAACUCACAAAAACUCCCUCUUUCAAACUCCCACCCCACAAAAAACACCCCACGGCGGCCCCCCAGGGAGGAACAGCCUAGUAAAAAGCAACCAGUAAAUAGAGCCAGCCCUGGAAGAUACAUUCCCAGCUGUAACUGGAGCACUGUGCUGGGGACUGUGAGCCUGCGAGAGCUGGCACGUUUUUAUAAUACAGAUGCGUAAACGCGCUGUCUGAGGCAGAGGAGUGGCAGCAUCUCCUUUGCUGUUUCUUGUCUGGAAUAAGUUGCCCAGGAGGAGCCUCCCCAGACCCAGAAUAAAAGACCUGAUUUGCCAUCGGACUCUUUUUUUUUUUCAACUGUGACCUCCUGCAACUUAAUUUUUCAUCAGGUUUGCAAAAAACACUUUUGUCAGACUUCCACAGCAUUUUCCAAAUUCAGACUUUCACUGUCUGUUGUCGUACUCACACAUACACACAUAUGCACACACAUUUACGGGUUACAUAUUUAAAGCGAAAUAUGUAAAUAUGGACCACUUUAAAGGUUUUCUAAGGAGCUUGUAUUCAUGUGUUUUUGAUAACGAACUAUUUUACAGUGAACAUAAGAUAAUCAAACCAAUGGGAAAUCAUUGUUCCAAACCAAGUCAGAUAUUAACUUUUGGGACCAUGUGAUAUACAUUUUUAAAGAACAGUUUAUUUUAUGGAGUACCUCUUUUUCUUCUCUAAAAUUAUUUUCUAGAAUAAAAUUUUUAAAAUUAAUAAUACUGAUUAAAGUGAAAAGAAGGAAAGCUGUGCUCCAACCAGAGGUCCAGUUAAACUUACAAAAUUGGGCCAAAAUUUUGUCCAAAGUUCAAAUCUGAUCUCUGAAGGAUAAAGAUUAGAAAUGCUGAGGUCUGUGCAAAAGAGCUCGCUGUCCAAAGGCCAUUUCCAACAGCUCAGGAAGAAUUCCAGGGGUUCAGACCUGUGUUUGACAAUAGGCCCUGCCUGUUCUGACGUCCUUUGGGACAAGUUAAUUAAUUUUUAAGCUUCAAUUUCCUUAGUUAUAAAAUAAGAAUAGUAAGAGUAAUUGCUUCAGAGAACUCUUGUGAAGAUUAAAUGAGAUAAUACACGUGAAGCAUUUGUAAAGCCCAGUAUCAGCCACGUAGGAAAUACUCCAUACUGGUAAUUAUUAAUCUAAACUAUUUUGACAUUGGCAAUAUCUUUGGAAUAAGUGCCUAAGCUGGAGAUGAAGAUGAUGCACACUUCAGUGUGUUAUUUCUGGCAGGUCUCUCAGUUUACAUGUGAUGAUUUCUUGUAACCACAACACCCAUAAUUAUGCAAGCAGCAUUUUGUUUUCUCAAGGUGCUAAUUAUUACCUACUAACAGUGUGCCAGGCACUGUGGAAGGCAUUUCAUGCACAUCAUCUCACAGGAUCCUUACAACAGCCUUUUAAGUUGCCAUUAUUAUACCGAUUUUUCAGAUGGGGGAACUGAAGCUUACCCACAGUUACCUAACCGGGUAAUAAUGGAGUCAGACUUUGAACCAGGCAGCUAGUACUAAACUCUGAGAAAAUAAUUGCAAAUAAAUAGAAACCAUUGUACACAAGAUGUUUAUCAUAGAAAACAUAUUUUUUUACUUUUUCACUGUAGACAUUUCAAACAUAUAGAAAAGUAGAAAGAAGGUCAUAGUGAACCCUUAUGAGUUCCUCACUCAGCUUCAACAAAUAUCAGCUCAUGGUAAAUCUUGUUAAACAUACCCACAUUAUAAAACUGGAAAUAAGCUAUAUGUUCAACUCUAGGGGACUGGUUAUUAUUAUGACAUAUCUACUAGACAGACUUUAUGAGCCACUGAGAUGUUUCUGAAGAGCUUAUGAUAACCUGGACAAUUUAUGCUACAUAUUAAUUAAAAGGCAGCAUACAUAAUUAUACAUAUUGUAUAAUCAUAACUAUUUUUUUAAAUAAUACAUUGUGGAUCUUGGAAAUCUAAGAUUUUUUAAAUUUUGUUUUACUACUUUCCUAUAUUUCCUAAGUUGUAUAUCAUAAGCAUAUUUUAUUUUAACGAUAUAAAAAUUAUUUCUCUAAUAUUCAGAAAAAUAAACAGGCAUACUCACAUGUAGAGAGAGGGCUUACUUAUCAGAUCUCACUAUGGAAAUCAGCUUAUGUAACAGAAUAUCCCAUAUAACAGAAGUUUAUCUCCUCUUAAUUAUCAAAAUAUAUUUUUUAUUUUAUUAAUAUUUUUGAUGUACAACAAUUUAAAUUUAUAUGCAUAUCCAGCUUUCUUAGAAUAUACUUACUAUAAUCCAAACUUUUCUAAAUGACUUUAGGUCAUCAUCUUAAACAACAAUUGUGUUGUGUUUCUACCGAUGCUGAUGGGGAUGUGGAAGUAUAAAAAUAAUGCUGUACAUUUGAAUAUUGCUUUGUGGUUUCCAAGCAGUUCCAUGUGGCAUUAACCAUUUUGUCCUAAGUCUAUAAGAUUAUUUGCUUCUCUGCUUAUCUACCCCUAGACUUCUAUAAUAUUUUUAGUUCUUGCGUCUUCUUUUUAUAGGUUUUAUUUAUCUUUAACUAUCAAGUUACUUCUCGUCGUGCAAGCCUCCAUUCCUUCUCUAAUGCACUACUUCUAAUCUGUUUUGGGCUAAGAAAACAAACAACCAACAUUGUUUAGGUCACAUACAAAGUCCAUGCAUUCACUUGAUAAAUAUUUGUGAGCAGUACACUGUGUACUCAGCCCUGGAGAGGAUACACAGACAAACAAGACACCAAUCCUGCCCUCAAAAAAGCUUUAAUUUAACAGCAGAGCUGAGACAUUGCCUACCUCGCUCAAAUCCACAGUAGAAGGUGAUAUGCUCUAUGACGGUAGUAUACAGAUAAAGUUUUAUUGGCGUUCAGAAGAGAGCUAGCUGGGGGCUUUACCAGAAGAGGUAACACUGGAUUUGGACCUCAAAAGGCAAGGAGGACUUGAGCACGCAAAGAUAGAGUAAAGAACAUUCUGAAACUGUGAGCAAAGCCCCGAAGAAUCAAAGGAUAAAGACUUUCCAUAGAAGUUGUUGAGUUUAACUACAGCGUGGAGUGUGUAAAGGCGAGUGGUGGGAAAUAAAGUGGUAAGGAAGAUUGGGACCAGAAAGUGAAAGGGCCUGAUUACCAGGCCGAGGAAUUUGGACUUUAUUCAGUAGACACCAGGGAGCUAUUGCAAGUUUUUAGUAGGAGAGGAGCAUAAUCAGAGCUGAGCCUCAGAAAGAUUGAUCUGGCAACAGUGAGUCAAAUGGAUUGGGGUAAGGAGAGGCGAGAGGACACAGAUCAGGUGGGAGACUAGCCCCACAGUCCAGGACAAGGCAGCAGGGCCCUAAGUAGGGCAGGGGCAGAGGGAACGACCGAGCCGGGGAGCUGAUUUAUGACACUUGGCAGAAGGAGAAUUAAUCCAUUAUAUUUGGGGAGCAAGGGAGAGGAAGGCACCAAAGACAUCGCUACGAUUUUGAACCUGAGUGGGGCCGUAAACACAAGCAGAGGGCAUCAGAGCAGGAGCAGGUUUGGGAGGGGAAAGCAGGACUUUCAUUUUGAACACGCUGAGUGAAGGUGCUGACCCGCUCCACUGGGCUUUUGGAGACGUGAGACUUCAGUGCCGCAGAAAGACCAGGCUUGGAGAUGAAGAGUUUGAGCCGUCUCUGUCUCAAAGACAAAGAACACGGAGAGGCAAGAGGCAGAGCGUAUCAGAGAGAUGUCAGGGAUUUGUGGGUGGUCUCCUUCAUGCCAGUUUUGGCUGCUUGCAGGUGUUUUUCACUUUCUUUCUGCUCUUAACCAUAUGUGGAAUACCACAUAAAUGGCUUGCAGAUAAGUGAAUUAUUGCUUUAUACAUACAAACAUAGAAAAUAUAUUCUAAAGUAAUGCAGUAAUUUGGAAUAUAGCUUAGGGGGUCAAUUUCACAUUAUCCACAAUCUUUAUCUUCACAUAUAAUAUAUUCCUGUGUGACCUAAGAGAAGUCACCGUACCUCUCUGGAUCUCAGAUCUCUCACCAAUUCAAUGAAGGGUUGAUUAAGAUCCUUGGUCCCCACAACUGGUUGCAGGUAGCCAAAACCUAGAUUGUAUCAGAAUCACUGGGGAAGGGAGGGGUGAAGACCAAGGCUCAGGAAUCUGUAUGUUUUAAACCUCCCUAGGUGAUUCUGAUGUGCAGCCUGAGUUGGUAACCACUGGGGUAAGCAUUCCAGCUCUUAAAUUCUAAAGUGUUAUCAAUAUUUAGACAAAAUAUGGUUGGUUUUUUUUUGCCACAACUCACAAAUAAGAAAAUAUAUCCAAAAUAGCAAAUUUACUGUUAAAUUCAGUUCAUCUAUGACAAAAUUCUCCCCCCUCCCCUUUAAGUUAGGAGUGAGAUAUAAAGUGUGUUUUAAAAGCACUAUAAUUUAGAAAUCUCCUGUGAUGUUAUAAAAUGUGAACGAUAUGUGUUGGGGGGAAGCUGUAAGGGGAAGAAAACCAGGGAGAUUGAGACUGUGUACAUACACAGCAUGCUGGGCUCUGGCCACAUCCGGGGACUAUCCACAUACCCAUAAUUCGCCCAUGCCUGUGCUCUACAGUUGGUUUUAAUGCCCCAGCUGUGCUUGUUGAGGCGUGUGGUCCUUGUGCUGCCUUUGAGAUUGUCACCUGUCAGAUUGUACAUGUAAGCCUUUCAGAAGUACCUGUGCAGACUGUCUUAGUCCAUCCAGGCUGCUGUAACAAAAUACCACAGACUGGCUGGCUUAUAAACAACACAGAUUUAUUUCUCACAGUGCUGGAGGCUGUAAGUCCGAGAUCAGGGUGCCAGCAUGGUCAGGUGAGGGCCUUCUUCGGGGUCACCACUUCUCUUUGUAUCCUUACAUGGCAGAAGGGGCUAGGGAGCUGUGUGGGACCUCUUUUAUAGGAACACCAAUCCCAUUCAUGAAAGCUCCACCCCCAUGACCUAAUCAUCUCCCAAAGGCCCCACCUCCUAACACCAUCACAUCGGGUGUUAGGGUUCCAACAUGUGAAUUUUGGAGGACAUAUACGUCCACACCAUAGCACAGAACCAGCACAGGUCUAGAGUGGAAAAUAAGAGUCAACUGAGAUUCCAGUGGGGGCCGAUGAGCAUUCUCAUUAACGGGCUUGUCUUUAACAUACCUGUCUGUUUGUUUUUCACCACAUGUUUCAUAAUUUAACUUUUACAUAGCUCCAUUGUUACAGCAUUGCCUCAGCAUUCAUAGGACAUGCUUUCUGAAGGCCCCAUAGAAUCUAGAGCAUGCUGUACUGGGCCACACAGGAGGGAAGAAGGAGAGGACUGAGGUAUCAGUUCUUUCUUCACUUUCCAUAUUCUUUCUCCACUUUCCAUAUUUUUUCUCCCUUCCUCCCAUUGAGGAAACAGUUUGCUGAACUCGACAGGUUGGGCUGGAUUAACCUAGACUGGAGAAACAAGUUGGAAUUUGGAAAAUCUGAAAGUUUCUAACUUCCAAGCUAAUUUUGACAUCCCAUUUGCUCAACAAGUAUUUAUCGAGGAGCUGCCUCUAAGUAGGGCAUUCUGCUUAGUAUUUACAUCAGAAAUUAGCAUCCAAUUGUGAUUUUGAUUGCGCAGUGGCUACUACUAAAAUUCUAGACAUAAGUGCAAAGUAGAAAUAAUGAUGAUGAUGCUGGUACUUUACAUUUAUAUAGACCUUGACAGUAUUUUCACAGAAUUCUCUUUUUCUGACCCUCCCACUCCCCUAGGGAAAUCCUCCUCUCAUCCUUAUUGUGUCUCCACCCCAUCGCCUUUUCUUCCACUCUUCAGCUCCACAUUCAUCCAUUCUCUUUCCCCAGUCAAACUGACUUUAAUUACACUCAGUUAGGUGGUCUGAUAACCUCAUUCAAGUAAUUUACCCCACGGUGUGAAUGAGGUCUAACCCUCUUGGAGAAAUUUGUAUUUUAAAAAAGAAGCUUGUUAGACAUCUGAGUUUUUUCCCCUCCAGUUAGUGACAAGUGAAGAGAGAUGUUUUUGAGUAGAGCUCUCAGACACAUCCUCUUUGCCCUCUGUCCCCAAACACACAAAGCUUUAUUUGCAUAUGUAAAAGAGAAUAACAUAGGAAAUCAGCCAAGCAGCCCAAUUUAUCUAUCUGCCACCCCCCAGAUAUUCUCCCUCUCUCUCUCUCAGCUCUGCAUGUUGCUAUACUUUCAAUGUUACAUAACACUCCUGUGUAUCAGACACCUGUGGCCUCCACCAUCCCAGAGCUACCACCUUAGUCCCUAAUCUGUUCCCACUCCAAAUCCUGAGUCUUGGCUCUGUCUUCUAUUUCUAAUGUUAUAACUACUCCUGAAAUUCACCUCUUUAGAUUUUGUUCCCCUACUUUUGGAGACAGUUUAGUAAAGUGAGUGAAGCGUAAGCCCUGGAGUCGAUGUCAUUUACUCAGCAUGUGCACGUAGGCGAGUGAUUUAUCAUCUCUAAGCCUCUGUUCCCUCAUCUGUAAAAUGGUCAUAUUGUGAGGAUUAAAUGCGGUAUGUAAAUAGGAUCAGGAACGUUUUGUUAAGAGUUCAAUGCAUGUAGUUACUUUAUUAAUAUUAUUUAUUAUCCCCAUCCACCUCAAUAACUUUGAUUCAGAUUCCCUGUACUGGUUCCACCUUGAAGCAUCUAUUUCUUGAAUAUUCUAUGCUGGUCAGAACUAUUUUCCUCAACCUGACCUUUUUAGCUACAGUUUAUACACAAAGUAGAUAAUGACAGAGACCAUGUUUUCUGAACAAAGACAGGAGGUAAUUUUAUAAGUACAAGCACAUUUGUGGGGACAAUAAAAGGCAAGAUUUGAAACCAGGGCUGUUCCAGGAAAUCAGAGACUUAUGGCUUCUGUACCUAUUCUUAGAACGUGAAUUUUAGACCCUGGAUGAAGAUGAAUUCCAGAGUCACAAGGUAGUGCUAAACAUAAUUAAGAAUGUGACCUCUCUGAUAACCCAUUGUAUUAAGAAAGCAAGGUUGAUUACACAGGGAGAAGUUGUCUACAUUUCAGGGAGGUCUUUUUCUGCCCCCAAAAGAGAAAGCCGAGACUUUGAAGUCAGAUCUGAGAUUGCAUCCAAACUCCACUGCCUAAAAUCCAUGGACAAAAAGACUCCAAGCCCCCAUCAUCAAUCUGUCACUGAUCAGGAAACUGAGGCUCAGAUAAAUAAAAUAAUUUGACCGACAUUAAUGAUACCCAUCUUGCAGACGUAUUAUGAAGAUUAGAAAUUAUGUACAAAAGACUGGCGUAUUGUUUGGUCUAAAUAAAUAUAUUUCCUGGAAAUUUGGAGCCAGGUUUCUCUUCAAAAUGAAAAGGGACUCAAUUUAUGCCCACCUUCCAUAUAACCAAGCUCUAUAUUUAAAUACAAACAAAGACCUAUCGAGUGACUCUAGAAAAUGGAAAUAAACAUUUUCCACAUUUACAUUUUUUAACCCAAAUUUGUCCAAUAAGUCUUUCCAGAUAGACAAGUUGGUUAUAAACGAAGUACCUUUUCAACAUUGAUUUCUAAAAAUGAAAUUUUCAAAGGAUUCUCAAUGUACUUGAGCAGUAUAGAAGUGUCUUUUGUUAUCAUGUAAGGGAAACAUAGGGUAAUCUGAGGCUGUGCCAUUAAAAAAAUGAUCACUAAAUAUUUUAUGGAGAAAUACGGAGGCACUUAGUGAAACCUCACAAAAAACAGACUCUACAUUUCGAUAUAUUUAAUGCCGUAUUUCCAAAUAGAAAUAUUACUCUUAUCUAAAUAAAUCUUGAACAUUUUAGAUAAGUUGAGAAAUUGUAUGCUGAGUGUUUUUUGUUUCUUAUUUCUAAUGAAUCAGUAAUUUUGACCUUCGUUCCAUAUGCCUCUUUAAUUUAUGGGGAAUAAAGUAAUACUGAUUUUUCAAAAAUUAAUACACAAUCUCAAGCCACCAAGUUUCCAAAUUAUGAUAUUUCCAAUGGCAAAUGAAAUAACAUGCUGUCCGUGCAGUUAGUGAUUUGAGGCAAUUUGAACAUCAUGAUAAAGGAGGGGGGGAUUACGAGCAGUGUUAUAAUUAAAGGUCUGUUGAUUCUUCAGUUUAAAUGCCAUUGUUGAAAGAUUUUUCACUCAGAUGUCAAAGUCUGUGGCCAGCCAAAACUUGGCAUGCUAGAACUCAGCCCAGGCAAACAUCGUGUUCCACAGAUUUAAAAACCAAAAUCUGUUAAGAACAGAAAUGUUGGGCUUGGGCUGAUUUCUCAUGAAUCAGAACCAGAGCAUAGCCAAAUACCACCUCCUCUUUACAAAAGGAAGUAGUGCAGGUGGAUGUAAAUGGGAAAUGUUUGUUCAGACGGAAGAUGAAGGGAAAUUAUCGCUAGAUGUCAUCAUACAGAGUGCUGGGUUAAAGUUUUAUAUAAUUAAAGCAUGUUUCUUGGAGAAGUUCGAAACAUUUUAGAAGCUUCUUCUAGUUAAACUUCUGUGGGUGAUUAAAUGGGGGGGCAGUAUUUACCCAUCUUCCAAGAUUUAUUUGCGUACUGAGGUUCAGUUUCUCCACAUCGCAUCCUUUGUUACUGGAAAAACUUGAAGCAAAACUUUAUUUGCUUAACUUACUACCUAGAAAUAUAUUUCCAUCACCAUGUUUCCUUUCUUUGAUUUGAAGGUUAUGAACCAGUGGCCUGUGAGCUGCAUCUAGCUAGCCCGUAGAAUUUCUUUUUUUGGUCCAUAGAGUAUUUUAAAAUAAUUAGAAAGUUUGAGCCAACCUUCAAAGAUCAAGAGAUCUAACUAAAAGACACAGAUGUUUCCAGCUUCUCUUGGAGAUUUGGAGAUCUUGCAACAUUAGGACUCUAUUCUUACGUGGCACCAAUAUCUAGAACAGAGUAGUGGCUGCUCCCUUCAGAGAAGCCACGUCCUCUCCAGUUGGGCAAAGUCCCUAUCAUCCCAUAUUUUAUGCUCCAUCCACAUCAUUCAUGUACUCUACCACCUUGGCUCCUAGAGGCAUUUGACUUUUCUUUCUUUGUUUAUGGUUGAUGUAUUAAGUUUCCUUGCUUUCUUUGCUUGUGGUAUUAAGUUUUAAAGCUUCCAAAAAUUUCUUUCCAAUAAAUAAUAGCAUUUCAAAGGCUAUGCACGCUGGUGCUCACCAAAGCAUUAUUGAAAAUGACAAAAAUUGGAAGGCAAUCAAAAUGUCAAAAAAUAGGAGAUUGUUUAAAUGUAUGUUGAUAUAUCCAUUGAAUGGAAUACUAUGCAGGACUUAAAAAUGUGUGUGUCUUGAAAGAGGGCAGGUUACAAAACAAUAUACACAGUAAGAUUCCUACUUUGUAGGAGAAAAAAUAAUUGUACAUAUAGGAAAAAGGUUAAAGUGAUGUCUCAGGACAGUAUUAGAAAAAUAUAUACAUAUACAAAGAUAUAUACAAAUAAGUUAACAAAUAAGCCCAAGGGUAGCUUUCGUAGGUCCCCUUGCAUAUGGCUUUCUUACUCCAUUUUGACUCAAUAGUUGGAACGUAUCCUGAAGCUAUUUUUCAAUUCCCUAUCUAAAGCUGAUUUUUCUUCUUGCUUUAUUCUUUACAGGAUACAAUCAAGAAUAAAGAUUUCUUUAGUUGUUUUAAACAGUUGAAUACAUAUUCUUACCUGCCCACAUAAUAGACUACCACCAUGGCAAAUCCAGAAAACCAAUUAUUAUGUUGGCCUGGAGUUGGUUCUUCUAAAGCACCUUUUGCUGAUACCAAAAAUUAUUCAAAACUUUUUGAAAGCAUCUUGGAACAGAAAAAUUACACAUAAAUAUGCACUUAAUAAUAUGAACACAAAAACUCUUAGGGUCUGGAACUCAAACUCAUCAUCACAAAGGCUUCAGCUUUGUGCCAACCAUAGGAAGCAAAGCUCACAGGUAAUGGCCAUCUAAGUAUUUACAGAAAUUCUUCUGAUCCAGGCACUUAGCACAAUGCCUGGCAGAUAGGAAAGGCUCCAGAAGUGUUUGUUGAAUGAAAUAGGAAUAAAUUUGCGCUCCUACCAAGGAACAGUUGACCUGUGCAUCAAAAAAGUCAGUUAUCCUUUAAUUAAAACACACGAUAAAAUUUGGAUUUUACUCAUAAAAUUUCCAGAUACAGCUUGAGUGCUUCAGAGUUAGUAAUGCUAUAAAUUUUUUCCUAGAAAAAAAAAAUGUUUGUUUAUGUGUGUGGUUGAAUGUAUGAGUUUGGAGAAAGAGUAGAAAGGCACAAGAGGUGCUCCUUUCAAAGAUGAGUGCAGUGAUGACGGCUCCAGCUCCUACAUGUGCCUCCUCCUCCUGGCAGGGCUAGCUUCACUGUUUCUGAUUGGACUGUUUUGACCACCUCUCUUCACUUCUCUAGAGCAUUCUUCACCUUUGUGCUCCAUAGCAUCUGUGUUCAUGGUUCUCCUGUUACCUGAAUGAUCCUUCUUGCUCCUUCAACCGUUCUCCCUUCAUCUACCCACAAAACGUAAAUUUGCCCUUCUUUCUUCCCUCGCUGCAUUCUUGGCGUCUGUGGGCGGUUUCAUGGAACCCAUACAGCUGUACCCAGACAUUCACAUCACCUGCCUGAAGACCUGGGUGUCUAGUCCUGACCUGUAGACCUGGUACUACAGACGUGGGAGUCCAGCUGCCCACUGGACUUCUCCAGCUGGAUGUGCCACCCACAGCAUCUCAAACUCUUACUGCUAUCCUCUGAGUAUUCUAGAAGCUAAUCAAGUAAAUUCCAAGUAUGCUUUGUGCUUUCCUAUCCCCAUGCUUUUAUCCUGUGCCUCUUGCCUAAAACCUCUCUCUCCAAAUUCCAACUGUUGGAAUUUUCCCAUAUUCCAAAAUCCAUCUCAAACACUGCCUUCUUCAGGUAACUUUUUUCAGUGUCUAUGGUCAAAUGAUAUUCCUCAAGCCACUGAACCUACAGAAUUUUGUUAGCAACCCUUUCUGGUAGUCACCUUAUUUUGCACUGUAUUUUAGUUAUGUGGUGUUUUAUUUUCUCCCAUAUUCUAAAUACUAGGUGUAUGGCUUCGUACUUGUCUUUGUAGUUAUUUUCUAGUGCUUAGGUCCUAGCAGAGUCCUUUGCUCAUAGCAGGUACUCAUUGAAUAUAUAUUGAAUUAAAUUGGGUUUAUGUAUUGAUGGUCAUACAUGGGUUAACGAUCUGGAAAGGCCACCUACCUAAAGAGUCUCCCCUACUUUCCAAGCCAUAGUAUCUUGCUUUAGGGGUUUUCUCUUCUACAAAUGGGGAUUUUCCACUAAGUUGUAUCUUUUGGUUCUCUAGUGAGUAAACUAUUAACUGGUUAGUAGUUGAGCCUCCCCUACCUUCUCAGAUCCACUCAUUGUCACCUAAGAGGCAGCAAAGUCUUAAAAGAUUGCGGCAGAGGUCAGGUAUGUUCUUAAGGGGGUAACAAACAGAAGAGGCCCAUAGGAGAGGUGGGUAAUGGAAGGCAGCUUGGGCUAUGCCUGGUUGUGUGUCUUACUCUUCUCCUCUGUAAAACUGGACAACAAUAAUAAUUUCUACCUUAUAGAGAUGUUACAAGAACUAAGCAAAUAAUACUAAAUAAUAAAUAAUAAAGUACUUAGAAUAAUGGCUGGCAUACUGAAAGUGCUAGUAAGUAUUGGUUAUUGUUAAGUAUUCAUAUAUAUAGUAUAUACAUAGUAUAUAUAAUCAUAUGUAUAUUAGGUAUAUAUAUGCUUAAUAGAUAUUACAUAUGCACAUAUAUUUAACAAUUAUUACAAUUGUUGUAAUUGUUAUUUCACUCCAUGAACCUGAUGGCAGAUCUCAAAGAAAUCCCUCAUUAGCCAGAGACUUUAAAUGUCUGGGGAUGGAACGUGUAAAAGAAAAGAGACCAGGCUUUGCAAGACAGGCGGGGUUUGACACACAGCUCUUCCACCUCUUAGCUGUGCACCUUGGGGAAGUUCUUUAACCUCUCUGAGCCUCAGCUUCUUCAUCUGCAAAAUCAGUGCCUAUCUUUUACAUUUGCUCUGAGGAUUAAGUGGGCUUUUGUUCUCCCUAAUCGUUUCAAGAUUGGCUCUCAUCCUUGUGGUGAUUCCUAUCCUUUUUCUGAACUUCACAUUUGUUUUCUUUGACAAAUUAGAUUCCAGACUUUUUGUUUUGAACCAAACUUAGAAGAAAUGGGUGGCACUGUUUGAGAAAAACCAUAGCAGUACCAGUUAAUCAUUACAAAUUAUUAAUAAUUUAAUGCAGCAGUGAAAUGUUAAAAUAUGUACCAAUUAAUAUGCACCAAGCCUAAUAGAGAACAAAUACUUACCAAACUGUGACUAAAUCCUUAAUCUAGAACAAGCUUACCAGUCAGGCCAGGUUUUGUGUUUUUUUUUUUUAAUAAAAUAUGUUCUACCUAUGGGAAUAAUUAACUGUACUGAUCCACAGGUUUUACAGUUGGUCAUUUUUUAGAGGUACAAGAAUUUAGAUUUUUAUUGAAAACAAAAAGUCCUUUCCGUGGUCCUAUUUGAAAGGAGCAUGUGGGGGUUGCGGGGAGAAAGGAAAACAAAGGAGAAAAGAUGGUCUUGAAAAUACCUACAAACUCCUGGAUAUUUGGAUCUGAAAGAAAAAGAACCUUGUAAUGUACCUUCUCACAUUUAGUCCUGUUCUGGGAGCGCUGUGAUGUGGCACUUAAUGCUCUAGGGGACCCGGAGCAAGUGUUACAAAUGCAACCAAAAGUCUCAUGAAAAUGAGCCUCUUAACAGUGUGUGAGCUGGUCUGCCAUGGCCUCAGGAAAUCCCCCCAGCUAUUCACGUCCUUUUCAUCCACUACAUUCUCUGACUCAAAGGGAAACCUCACUUCACCUCCUUGACCAGAAUUGAGCAGACAUUGAUUUGGUUACCCAGUGCUUUAUUUAUUCAUUUAUUAGUCUUCAUCAUUUGUAUUCCACUAGAACAAAAGAAUAUAUCUUUUCUUUGCAUUAAUUUAAGUUUAAGGAUGUGCAAAUGUGUGAUUGUGGAAGAGUGCCUAUUUAUGUUUAUGUAAUUUUAUGGGUAGCUUGCUUUAAUUUAAAAUAUUUUCCGUCAAAGCCUCACCAUCACCAUCGUUGUGCAGAAUGACUCUGCUUGACAUAUUAGCUGAAUUCCUAAAAGUGUUGCACAUAAAGUGAGCUUUUUAAAGGAGAAUCAUGUUUUUCUAUCCACUUCUAUAAUUAGUCAGGUUAAGUGUCACAUGGGAAAAAUAAGUGGCCCAAUGCAUAAUUUAAAAAAAAAAAUUAAGAAUCGCAACUUUCACCUCAGUGAUAAUGAUGCAUUUAUCUAUUGGCACUUUAUGUGCCUUAAUUGCCCCCAAGAAAAGCCAAUAAGAGAUGAAUCCAAUUAAACGGCAGAUAUUUUGGAAGCAAGUACUGUGUGUAAACCACUGUAGUGGAGGCAAUGGGAAAUUCAGAGAAGGAUAAGUCAGGUUUGAUCCUCAGGGAGCAUAUAGUCUAGUUAAGGACACACAACAAAAAAGGUGGAAUUGUAUAUACCAAUUAAAGAUUUAAAUAACACUUUGCUAAGUAGAUGUUUGAUGUUAAGCAACUGAGGAAUGGCCUUUGAAGAUAUUUCCACUCGUCAAUACCAGUUUUAGAUGCCAUGCUUUCUUCAAUUUUAUAAUACUGGAUUUGUUCUUACUUAGGUAGUAUGUUCAAAGAAGAGUUGGCUAGAACAUAACCAUAAUAAAUUCUGCAGCAGUGUCUACUUAAUGUAUAACUAAUCAUAAUCAACGCAGAGGUCAUAUAAGGACUUAAAGGAAAUAACAUCCUUAGUUACCACCUUAGUUAUAACCUGACAAAGAGAUUAAUGUAGGUUCAGGGGAAAACCAUAGAGACAUGUACAACUUAAAUGUCUAAUAGUAUGCGGGCUACCCGACCCAGUAUUUCUAUACACACCUUUACUCUUCCGCUCAAGUGUGAAUGAUAAUUGCAUCAAUAAUACCAAGCAAAUGGGAUCUUUAGUUUGCAAAGCAUUUUGGGUCCAUCAUUCCUUUUGAUCCUCAACUUGUGAUUUCAACAAGGUGUGAGAUUGGUAAGGCACAUAUUAUCCACAUUUUACAAAUGAAAAACCUAUGAAGUUGAAAAGGACAGAUGAUGAGCUUAAGAACACAGAGCUCUUAAAAUGUGCAGCUGCUUCUCCUGAUGCACGCAUUGUGACUGGCUCAGUGGAAGCAGUAACGCAGAGUCUCUGCCACACCACAACUGUCCUGCAAGGCACAGAGGAGUUGCCAAAAUGCAACCUGGUGACUUUAACCUUCAGAUGGAAAGAACCCUCAGGCCAAAAGGCAUACCUGCUAUGAUUUCAUGCAAGAAGGAAAAAGUAAAGUUAGCUAUCAUUUAUAAGGUGUUUUUUCCCACUUAUAUAGAGCCCUUGGUAAAUGCCAUGAAUUUUCAUCACUCAGAGAUUGGAGAAAAUCCUGAUGAUUGUCCAUGAAAAUCGUGGUUGUGUCUAAUCUGGUUGUGUCAGAGUUUUGUUUUUUUUUUCCAGUCCCCUAAAGAGCUUGGACUUGAAUAUCUAAAAAAUUCUCAGUCUUGAUCUGGACAAUCAUUCCCACCUACUAGGAUUUAUAUCUUUUCCGUUGCAAAAUCUGUGAAUAUAGUCAGUUGUCUUUGAGCUGGCUUCCAGGAGCUUCUUACUUAUUUAAGAAUAUGGUAUGGAAAUGAUGGGGAUCAUGGGCCACUUUACUGAAACUGAGUGUCACUGGGAAUUGAUAAAGAAGUGUGGUUCUGAAUUCCACAAGCCACAGGCUUUCAUUGGCAAUAUAGAAUUCACAGCUGUCACUAAAUUUUGCUGCCUGAUGAAUAGAAAGGUAGAGUUUCAAACCAAGAAAUUCAGCACUUGAUUCUGGAAACUAAUGUCAGUGGGUCCUCCAUUCAAUUCACAUCCUUUAAAAGCCUACAGACUUCCAGCCUUCAUUUUGGCUUGGAGAAUUAGACCUGACGUCUUGAGCUUCUUGAACGUUUUUACUAGUAUUACUUCAGAGCCUCAGUUAAUGUGAGUAAUAUUACAGUAAUAUCAAGGCGAUAUCCCCAACACCUUGGUCCCAGGAUGUUUGCAAUCCAAAUUAAUGUUUCUUCCAUAAUAAUAAUCCUGCAGUUAUAAAGUGUUUUCAUAUUCAUGAUCUUAUUAAGUCCCACAUUAGCCUUUUGCACAGACAGGGCAAUUAUUAUUAUUAUUAUCAUUAUUAUUGUCAUCAUCAUCAUCAUUAUCCCCAUUUUGUAGAUGAGGAGAUAAACAGACUAAGAACAUGAUCUCAGGUUCUAGUGACAGAGCCACAAUUACACCCAGGUGAGCAGGUGAUCUCACUCAUAGUCUAACAUGUCUUUCAAAAUCUCGCCUUGCCGAGCCUCACAGAUUUGCCUUAUGAUGGUAGUUCUCAGCCAGGCUUUAGAAUUACCUAAAGGACUUUUAAAACAUAGGCACUCAGAUAGCUACCUCUGAGAGUCUGAUUCAGUAGGUCUGAAGUAAGGCCCAAGAAUUUAUUUUUCUGACAAGUUUCUAGACAAUGCUGAUGCUUCCAAGGGCCACCCUUUAUGGAGCACUGUCCUACAGAUUAUGCAGGAACUGAAUGGCAGUGAUACCUUAAGGCAAGAUAGUCUUCUAAGAAGAAAAUUUAUCUUGCAUGAUGCUGCCUUAUGCUGCUUCUUUUCUCCAUUUCUGACCUCCAUUGGGAAAGAACAGAACAAAUGUGGGGUGAGAGGCUAGCAAGAGAGCACCUCACUGUUUAGAAUAAGUUUAGAUUUCCUGGCAUUCAAGAAUUGGAGAGCAAACCCUUCAGUUUGCUUCUAACUAGAACCUACUUUUGUAGAUUAACUUGGAGAUGUGAUUGCCAAUCAACUACUGAAGAGGUGCUAUAAGACUGGGCAUGGGCAAAUGUGAUUAGAUGGGUCUGUAGGCAACUGAUCUAUUAACCAGCAAUCUUUAGAUAGAUUUCUCCAUGUCACCUUAAGGAAGUUCUUAAUGGCAAGAGGGCGACACCAUUCUUGAUCUAUCCCACUCAGUAUUUUUCUGAAGACUGGUAAGGAGUUCUUGUAUCACAAGCUCAGUUUGAGCCAACAAGGUAAUAUAUCUGCCUUAAAAAAAAAAAAAAAGCUAAGAAAUAUUUCAGCUGUAUUGUGAGAUAAUGUCCAGAUCAAGGUAGCUGAUGGUAGGGUUGGUUCCUCUGAAGGCUGUAGGGGAGAAACAUUUCCUUAC